rnacentral:rRNA from 1 species
AACUAAGUGUGCUCUAUACUUAGCUUGCUCUGCUCAAUGAAUAUUUUAAUAGCCGCAGUACCCUGACUGUGCAAAGGUAGCAUAAUCAGUUGGCUCAUAAUUGGAGUCUUGUAUGAAUGAGUGCAUGGGUGUAGCCUGUCUUUAGACGAUACAUAGAACUUUUUAAGCAAGUGCAAAUACUUGUAACUAAUUAAAAGACGAGAAGACCCUAGAAAUUUCUCAGAAAAAACGUAUAACGGCGAUUUCUUGUUUUGCUGGGGCGGCAGAGUAACAGUCAAUAACUUGCUCUACAAAUUUGUCUUUUAUUUACAGGUCAGCUAUAAUUACUCUAGGGAUAACAGCGUAAUUCAUUAGGGUUUGCGACCUCGAUGUUGGACUAGGAAGAAAAGUACGCAGAAGGUAUUUUUCUACGUUCUGUUCGAACGAUGUCCCUACAUG